UACAGAGGGUGCGAGCGUUAAUCGGAAUUACUGGGCGUAAAGCGCGCGUAGGCGGCUUUGCAAGCCGGAUGUGAAAUCCCCGGGCUUAACCUGGGAACUGCAUUCGGGACUGCAUUGCUAGAGUAUGGGAGAGGGAAGUGGAAUUUCAGGUGUAGCGGUGAAAUGCGUAGAUAUCGGAAGGAACACCUGUGGCGAAAGCGGCUCACUGGACCAUAACUGACGCUGAGGCACGAAAGCUAGGGGAGCAAACAGG
rnacentral:rRNA from 1 species